CAGAAUUAUGAACUCUUCUGGCGUUGUCCCAGCCCACUUCUUGGAGCCUUUAUGAGAGAAGAAGUUUGGCAACUCACCUCCCAGUGCCCACAGGGGUGCAAAUGAAGCUGGAGCUGAAGCCAUCUAUGAGAGCAGCUGGACUGCCAGUCCAAUGACUAUAACUCUGAUAGCUCCACACAAGUUGAGAAGCAGCUUUUCAGCUGUGACAGGACCGCAGUUUCAAGAAAGACUGGCAACC
rnacentral:lncRNA from 1 species